CCAAAGGCUCUUUUCAGAGCCACCUAAGAGUUCACAAUUGAGAGCU
rfam:Rattus norvegicus chromosome 17, whole genome shotgun sequence.